GAUGAACGCUGGCGGCGUGCCUAAUACAUGCAAGUCGAGCGAACGGACGAGAAGCUUGCUUCUCUGAUGUUAGCGGCGGACGGGUGAGUAACACGUGGAUAACCUACCUAUAAGACUGGGAUAACUUCGGGAAACCGGAGCUAAUACCGGAUAAUAUUUUGAACCGCAUGGUUCAAAAGUGAAAGACGGUCUUGCUGUCACUUAUAGAUGGAUCCGCGCUGCAUUAGCUAGUUGGUAAGGUAACGGCUUACCAAGGCAACGAUGCAUAGCCGACCUGAGAGGGUGAUCGGCCACACUGGAGCUGAGACACGGUCCAGACUCCUACGGGAGGCAGCAGUAGGGAAUCUUCCGCAAUGGGCGAAAGCCUGACGGAGCAACGCCGCGUGAGUGAUGGAGGUCUUCGGAUCGUAAAACUCUGUUAUUAGGGAAGAACAUAUGUGUAAGUAACUGUGCACAUCUUGACGGUACCUAAUCAGAAAGCCACGGCUAACUACGUGCCAGCAGCCGCGGUAAUACGUAGGUGGCAAGCGUUAUCCGGAAUUAUUGGGCGUAAAGCGCGCGUAGGCGGUUUUUUAAGUCUGAUGUGAAAGCCCACGGCUCAACCGUGGAGGGUCAUUGGAAACUGGAAAACUUGAGUGCAGAAGAGGAAAGUGGAAUUCCAUGUGUAGCGGUGAAAUGCGCAGAGAUAUGGAGGAACACCAGUGGCGAAGGCGACUUUCUGGUCUGUAACUGACGCUGAUGUGCGAAAGCGUGGGGAUCAAACAGGAUUAGAUACCCUGGUAGUCCACGCCGUAAACGAUGAGUGCUAAGUGUUAGGGGGUUUCCGCCCCUUAGUGCUGCAGCUAACGCAUUAAGCACUCCGCCUGGGGAGUACGACCGCAAGGUUGAAACUCAAAGGAAUUGACGGGGACCCGCACAAGCGGUGGAGCAUGUGGUUUAAUUCGAAGCAACGCGAAGAACCUUACCAAAUCUUGACAUCCUUUGACAACUCUAGAGAUAGAGCUUUCCCCUUCGGGGGACAAAGUGACAGGUGGUGCAUGGUUGUCGUCAGCUCGUGUCGUGAGAUGUUGGGUUAAGUCCCGCAACGAGCGCAACCCUUAAGCUUAGUUGCCAUCAUUAAGUUGGGCACUCUAAGUUGACUGCCGGUGACAAACCGGAGGAAGGUGGGGACGACGUCAAAUCAUCAUGCCCCUUAUGAUUUGGGCUACACACGUGCUACAAUGGACAAUACAAAGGGCAGCGAAACCGUGAGGUCAAGCAAAUCCCAUAAAGUUGUUCUCAGUUCGGAUUGUAGUCUGCAACUCGACUACAUGAAGCUGGAAUCGCUAGUAAUCGUAGAUCAGCAUGCUACGGUGAAUACGUUCCCGGGUCU
rnacentral:rRNA from 1 species